CAGCGUACGCUGGGUCCCCCGCUUGGCUCGUCCGGGGGAGUUGCAGUGGGAGCGGGGCGCAGGACCCAGCACGGUUGGGAUUUCAUGGGGUGGGGGUGGUGCUGCAUUUCUUCCAUUGAGCGGGGGUACAGUUACUCUCCCACCCCGCCUCGAUAUACAUUGCAGUAUUGCUGCGUUGCAAGUAAAAAUCCGCGCCGCGUGGCCAAUUCUUGUCUAAUCUGUGUGACUGCAGCGCAGAGUCUCCGAAAGGGAGAGAAAUGCAGGCGGAGUUUUUCUCCCCUCCAUCAUAGCGAGCAGAGGCUGCGUUGGGAAUAUAAAAUUCCAGGCAGCUCCUCUGCUUCUGCAGGUAGCUUCCCUAUCCCGCUGUAGUCUGUCCCCCACCCGCCGUUAUUCACAGCAGAAAGCCCCGGGGCUUAGCAGAAUGCAGCCACAGCCUGUCUCGCCUACCCUGCAGCAGCCUUGUACUAGAAAAACAGCCGCUGGCAGUGCUACCCCUUCCGUUUGCCAGAGGCACGGAGAACACCGCCAGGCGGGGAGGAAGCAUUCAGGAGGCCUGGCUUUUGGGGAGAAUAAACGAUCCCUCUGUGCAGUCUGGAGCCACCCCUUGUCCUUUUUCGCCUCACUCUCUGGGAGGUUUAUAUCUGGUUUAGAUAGAACGGCUGUGAGGAAAGAGACCCAGAGGAAAGGAAAGCCUUCCCCAGCCCUGCCUGCCUUUUAGGGACUAUUGAUUUUGGUCACGUGCAGCCCUCUCCUAAGAGAGAUCGAUUGCAGGGCAGCAACCUAACCCUAGGUUUGUGCACAGCUCUGCAGCAUGAUUUGCUGGUAUGACUCCCCCGCCCUCAUAGACAGUUAGCAGGUUUAACAAGGAGGAUAAAGAGGAGCUGCAGGACUCCAAAUGCCUGGAAGCGGAGGAUUAGGGACAGUGCCACCUAGCUGGCCCCAAAUCUCAAAGAAAUCCCUUGUGUUAUCACCAAGGGGAGUCUGAAUUAAUGGCGGCAACAGCCCAGGAAGACAGCACAAUUAGUCUCUGCAAAGCUUGUCUGAGAGACUCUGCAGACAUCAAUGCUCACAUACACCUAUGAGCAAGACCCCCUUGGAAGGAGACUUACUCUGAAGCAAGAGGUGGUGGUGAACCUGGAAAGUAGAACUCUCCUGAACAGAGCCAGGGCUGUGUUUCUGAGUCCAUUACAUGUGGAUUAACACUCAGACCCGCCUACUUGGAAGCACCUACCUGCAGAAGGGGAUGGUCCCUAUGUAAGUCAAAGGCAAGGUUGCUCUCUCUACACUUUCGUAUCAACAAGAGCACGGGGAUGGUUGCCAGGAGUGCUCUUUACAGUGCGAAGAGGGCGUCCUCUGAGCGCUCCUGCUUCUUCCUGCCUGAAGGAUUCGUAGGAGGAGUGGGGGCCUCCAGCGGAGGAGAAGGGAAGAUGCUCCAGAUGGAUGCACUAUGGAACAUCAGCUACCAUGAGUUUGGUGGAUUGGAAGAGGAUCUCUGCUGGGUGAUUGUAUCAGAAGAGAGCAAGAUGGAUAUUCUACUCAAAAGCACUGGACUGAGACAGCUCUGAAAGCCAGAGGCUUCCCUGCUUACCUUCACUUGUCACGCCUUCUUCCAGUUCUUCUCCUUUCUGCAGUCGGGACAAAGAAACAAGUAUGAACAUAUGGACUUCACUUCGCUUUCAGUUUCACCCUAAGCAUGUUUACAAGUAACCCAAACCAUUCAUUGCCUCUGUCCCUUUAUUUAACCACAGUUACUACAGGAACAUGAUGACCUAGAUGAGUCACAUGGUGCUCAUGUCAGGAGGCAGAUGAACGACCCAGUACUUCUCUGUGUUGCAGAGCAAGAGAAAUAGUCCAAAUGAUGGUGCUAUUGAUUAUUGGUGACAUCCAUUAUCAGUGAACUCCCCAUUAGAUCUGAGUGACAGUCAGUUAAUCGCCAUCUUCUCCACUUCCAAGAGAGCAGGCCUCUUCUUAUCAAGAGAAGCCAUAACCUGAUACAAAACUGAAUAACUACAGGAGAUGCCACCUCACCUGUUUACAAUUCCUUUAGGACAUCAUGGCUGAGACUUUCGUUAAUAUUGCAUCAUAUUUAAAAGCUUAAAUCAAGUGAGGUAGACACCCCCCCCCAUGAAGUGUUUAGGGACAAUAUUUUUCCUGAAUAAAAUGGAUGGUUCAUUUUGGAUUUAGAAUUCAUGAUUGAGGGGGG